rnacentral:rRNA from 1 species
UACGUAGGGUGCAAGCGUUGUCCGGAAUUAUUGGGCGUAAAGGGCGCGUAGGCGGCUUGGCAAGUGGAAGGUGAAAUCCCUCGGCUUAACCGAGGAACUGCCCUCCAAACUGCUUCGCUUGAGACCGGGAGAGGUGAGUGGAAUUCCCAGUGUAGCGGUGAAAUGCGUAGAUAUUGGGAGGAACACCAGUGGCGAAGGCGGCUCACUGGACCGGAACUGACGCUGAUGCGCGAAAGCGUGGGGAGCAAACAGG